rnacentral:rRNA from 1 species
CUGUCCUUAGUACGAGAGGACCGGGAUGGACAUACCUCUGGUGUACCAGUUGUCGUGCCAACGGCAUAGCUGGGUAGCUAUGUGUGGACGGGAUAAGUGCUGAAAGCAUCUAAGCAUGAAGCCCCCCCUCAAGAUGAGAUUUCCCAACUUCGGUUAUAAGAUCCCUCAAAGAUGAUGAGGUUAAUAGGUUCGAGGUGGAAGCAUGGUGACAUGUGGAGCUGACGAAUACUAAUCGAUCGAAGACUUAAU